rnacentral:lncRNA from 1 species
AGGUAGUGUUUUAGGGUUUAGGGUUAGGUAGGGUUUUUAGGGUUAGGGUUAGAUAGGGUUUAGGGUUAGGUAGGGUUUUAGGGUUUAGGGUUAGAUAGGGUUUAGGGUUAGGUAGUGUUUUAGGGUUUAGGGUUAGGUAGGGUUUUUAGGGUUAGGGUUAGAUAGGGUUUAGGGUUAGGUAGGGUAGGGUUAGAUAGGGUUUAGGGUUAGAUACGGUUUAGGGUUAGGUAGGGUUUUGGGUUAGGUGGGGGUUAGGGUUAGGUAGGGUUUAGGGUUAGGUAGUAUUUUAGGGUUUACGGUUAGGUAGGGUUUUUAGGGUUAGGGUUAGAUAGGGUUUAGGGUUAGAUAGGGUUUAGGGUUAGGUAGGGUUUAGGGUUAGGUGGGGGUUAGGGUUAGGUAGGGUUUAGGGUUAGGUAGGGUUUAAGGUUAGAUAGGGUUUAGGGUUAGAUAGGGUUUAGGGUUAGAUAGGGUUUAGGGUUUAGAUAGGAUUUAGGGUUAGAUAGGGUUUAGGGUUAGGUAGGGUUUGGGGUUUGGUAGGGUUUAGGGUUAAUCCUCAUAAUCUUUAAUACCCCUAAUCUCUAAUAUUCAUAAUUCUAUAUACCCCUAGUCUAUAUAAUAAUACCCUUAAAAUACAAUGCCCCUAACCGCAUAUACCCAUAAUAUAUAAUUCCUCUUAAUCUAUAAAGUUCUUAUAAUCCUUAAUACUUCUAAUCUCAUAUACCCCUAAUAAAACAUAUUGGGCUGUUCCUUUACUUUUUUAUCUGAAGAAUUAUUGCUGUAAAAUGUUUUGCUCUGGUUAUAAAUUUUAUCACUGUAAUUUUUUUCAUAUGAUUGGUAUAUAAGUUAGUACAUUGUACUAUAUAUACAUAUAUUUAUAACAUAUAAACCAAUGCAAAAUAAAUAUUAUAAUAGUUUAGAACUUAUUUAAUAAAUAAAUAAAAAUAAAAAUAUUUGU